AGCACUUAUUAAUACAUUUAUCACGUUUACAUAUUUUAUCGAGAGAUAGGAGGAUCACAUGAGGGGAAUAGAUUUGAUCGUUAUCUAGAGAAGCUUUCAAUUAAAUUAGAAAAUUGACCAACAUGAAUGAUUUCAAAUUGUCAAUUUAAUUGUUACACUAAAAAUGGAAUAACAAGAGGGAUUCUACAUCUUAGCAAUAGUUCUUACGAAUUUCAUAAAUUUUCUUUACAUUGCUUUCUGUUUAAUUGAUAGAUUUUAUAUUGUCUAGUCACAAAUUGAUUUUGCUAUUCAAUUAAGGGUAGUGUUAGCUUUAACUAGAUCAAACACAUAGUUCCCGUGAGUUCGACACUCUACAUAUCAGUUUAUUACUUGUUCACGGUCCUGUCCACUUGCGGAUAAUCAAACGAUCAGUGCUAGCUCGCCAAACUCAAAUGGAAGCCAAUUCUUCAUGACGUUGGAUCAUUGUGAAUGGCUUGACAAGAAGGAGACAAUUUUCGGAAAAGUAAUCACAUUCAUAUUUAUUAGGACAAAGACUUUUAUUAGAUGAAUUGAAAUUGUAAUGGAAGGAGAAAAUCUUAUUGAUCAGAGAAAAACGUUUACAAACCAAUGUGUUAUAAAUACUUUUGUUGCAUUUCUUAUUGAUGCUUGGCUAUUUUUAUUUGGUCUUAUUGUAUUUCACUUUAGUAAUGAUAGAAUUGUACCUUGAGAUUGCUGCAACAUUUUCUUCUUGGAACCAUUUCCUAAGUAUUAUGGAAUCCAUUUGAUGAUAUUGUCCCAAGGGUAGCACCUUCAAAGACUUUGCCUUCAACAUUGGAUGGUGGAAAAAGAAAUACUUAGCAGAAAGCAACAAAGUUCGUUUUCUUGACUCAGCGGAGACAUAGUUGCUUGAAUGCUGAAACUUAAUUUUGCUGUAAAAUUUAACUAUGUAUGUCCUUUGGGGGGUUUGUUGUGCUGAAAAUUGAAUUUGCUAUCAUUUGGAGAAGAAGCUGAAGAAGAGAAAGAACUGGCAGCUGUCAAUACGAAGAUAAAGAGUAGUCAUGACAUGUUGGAUGAUCCUCGCCUCCUAAAGGAUGAUAACCGUGAUAAUAAUUUGGU
rnacentral:lncRNA from 1 species